CCCUUAGAUGUCCUGGGCCGCACGCGCGCUACAAUGAUGCAACCAACGAGUGCUGCUCCUUGGCCGAGAGGCCCGGGGAACCUUGCAAACUGCAUCGUGCUGGGGAUAGAUGAUUGCAAUUCUUCAUCUUGAACGAGGAAUGCCUUGUAAGCGUGAGUCAUCAACUCGCGCUGAAUACGUCCCUGCCCUUUGUACACACCGCCCGUCGCUCCUACCGAUUGAAUGUUUCGGUGAAGAUUCCGGAUAGGACUUUUUUGAUUUAUUUCAAUUCUGUCUUAAAAGCUAUCUAAACCUCAACAUUUAGAGGAAGGUGAAGUCGUAACA
rnacentral:rRNA from 1 species